UGAGGGAUUAGGUGACAGUGUAGUAACUGCUGAAUACUAAAUACUUGAUCCAGGCCCCAUUCCCUGGAGAUUGACAGGGAGACACAUUGUCCAGGUAGUAGUGGAGAAAUGUUUUCUGGGUAUCUGACCAGCCUUUGUGGAAAGAACUGGCACCAUCCUGCAGAUGUAACUACCUGAUGGGUUCUUCCUGCCCAAUGUACACACAAAAUCAAUUCAUGGAGACCAUGGCACUGCAGGAAAGAGUUUCACUGACACAGGCCAGCCACGACAUGUGGGAGACAAGAGUUAUUACUCAAAGCAAUCUCACUGAAGGCUUGGAGAGCCCGCCCGGCAGGACCACCGAGCAAGGCCUUGGAAAACCAGAGAGAUUAGAGCGAAUGGGGAAAUGGAGAGAGAACCUGAAAGAGCCCCAAACUCGAGGACCUAUUGCUCCCCAAGAAUAACAUCUUCCAGAAGAACUAGACAGAAAACUAGGCGUCUGGGAACUCUGAAAUCCUUGGAGGAGUAGCAUCAUCAUGACCCUCUGUGUUCCUUUUGGCAAAGGACUUGCUCCCAUUGUUUGCUUGUUCCAUUGUCUGUCUGUUAAAUAAAUA
rnacentral:lncRNA from 10 species